rnacentral:rRNA from 1 species
AACGAACGCUGGCGGCAUGCCUAACACAUGCAAGUCGAACGAGACCUUCGGGUCUAGUGGCGCACGGGUGCGUAACGCGUGGGAACCUGCCCUUAGGUUCGGAAUAACUCCCCGAAAGGGGUGCUAAUACCGGAUAAUGUCUUCGGACCAAAGAUUUAUCGCCUUUGGAUGGGCCCGCGUUGGAUUAGCUAGUUGGUAGGGUAAAAGCCUACCAAGGCGACGAUCCAUAGCUGGUCUGAGAGGAUGAUCAGCCACACUGGGACUGAGACACGGCCCAGACCCCUAGGGGGGGCAGGGGUGGGGAAUAUUGGAAAGGGGGGCAAAUCCUGACCCGCCAAUGCCGGGUGGGUGAUGAAGGCUUUGGGGUUUUAAAUCUUUUUUCCCGGGGAUGAAAAGAAAGGAACGGGGAAAAAAACCCCCGCUAAACCCCUG